UCUUAACAAUCUUCAAAUUCACUGACCUCCACAACAUGAACUCAGUUUCAGCCAUCGCUGCGUCGACCUCGUCUUCUUCAUCUUCGCUACUCAAUAUCACCAAAAUCCCCUCUUCUUCUGCAGUAGCUCCUUUUGCUCCUCCUCAUGUUUAUCCGAAUCUUCGAAGGAGAAGGAGCAAAUGGAUGAUUCUCCGAAAAAAUGCCGAGAACCAGUCGAUUACAGUUGCAUCACCAACGACGACCACCAAAAUUGAUGACGACGAUAGGGCUGUGAGUUCGGCUUCGGAUGUUGUGAGGAACUUCUAUGAAAGAAUUAACGACCAUGAUGUGGACUCUGUUGCGGACCUUAUUGCUGAGAAUUGUGUGUAUGAAGACCUUGUCUUUCCCCGACCAUUUGUGGGUCGCAAGGAAAUUCUGGAGUUCUUCCGAAAGUUCACCACUUCUACCAGCAAAGAUCUCCAGUUCGUUAUUGAUGAUUUGUCCACUGAUGAUCCCUCAUCAGUAGGGGUGAUAUGGCACUUAGAAUGGAAGGGGAAACCUUUUCCCUUUAGCAAAGGAUGCAGCUUUUAUCGUUUGGAGGUCAAUAAUGGAAAGAGACAAAUAAGAUAUGGGCGAGACAGUGUAGAACCAGCAGUUAAGCCCGGGGAUGCAGCUCUGGCAGCAAUCAGGAGUGUGACUUGGCUUUUUCAACAGUUUCCUCAGCUAGCAGACAUGUUGUGAUCAAAGUCAGAUUGGUAAACAUAUGCUUCCUCAACACAUGAAAAGAACAGAAAACGAUGUGAAGCAAGUAUGGAAAGAGUCUGUACAGAUAACUAUUGAGUCUCACUUGGAUAUCUAACGUGAAACAAGUAAUUGAGAAAAGAAAAAGGUAAAAAGUUGAAGGAAGUGAAAACAGGAGGUGAUAUGGCUUACACCAAUGGUUUGGCCGGAAGUGUCAACUUCACAGCGAGGCUCAUUGAUAAGCUCCCACGCCAUGAUUGUGGGGUCAUCUUUGUAUGCCACACCAUUUACCGUAUUUUUUCUUGUAAUCAACGUCUGCCAUCAGCAAUAAAAAUAUUUACAAGAUCGUAGAACA